GAAACUUAAAGGAAGUUGACGGGGCCCGCACAAGCGGUGGAGCAUGUGGUUAAUUCGACGCAACGCGAAGAACCUUACCAGGGCUUGACAUCCCCUGACCGCGUAUGAAAGUACGUUUUCACCCUCGGGUGACAGGGAGACAGGUGGUGCAUGGUUGUCGUCAGCUCGUGUCGUGAGAUGUUGGGUUAAGUCCCGCAACGAGCGCAACCCCUACGUUUAGUUGCUAACGCGUGAAGGCGAGCACUCUAGACGAACUGCCGUUGACAAAACGGAGGAAGGUGGGGAUGACGUCAAAUCAUCAUGCCCCUUAUGUUCUGGGCUACACACGUGCUACAAUGGCCGGUACAGACGGACGCAAAGCCGCGAGGUGGAGCAAAUCCUAAAAAGCCGGUCUCAGUUCGGAUUGCAGGCUGCAAUUCGCCUGCAUGAAGUCGGAAUCGCUAGUAAUCGCAGGUCAGCAUGCCGCGGUGAAUACGUUCCCGGGCCUU
rnacentral:rRNA from 1 species